GACUAACGCUGGCGGCGUGCUUAACACAUGCAAGUCGAACGGACAUUAUCAAGAAGCUUGCUUUAAGAUAAUGUUAGUGGCGGACGGGUGAGUAACACGUGGAUAAUCUGCCUGUAACACCGGGAUAACAUUGUGAAAACGAUGCUAAUACCGGAUACGUUCCCUUCAUCGCAUGGAGAGGGGAAGAAAGAACCUUGGUUACAGAUGAGUCCGCGGCUGAUUAGCUAGUUGGUAGGGUAACGGCCUACCAAGGCGACGAUCAGUAGCCGGCCUGAGAGGGUGAACGGCCACACUGGGACUGAGACACGGCCCAGACUCCUACGGGUGGCUG
rnacentral:rRNA from 1 species